rnacentral:tRNA from 1 species
GGGGAUGGCUCAGUGGUAGAGCACUGGCUUAGCAUGCAAAAAGCCCUGGGUUCAGUUCCCAGCAUCACUU